CCCAAUGUGUUAAACAAUUCCCAAAAAUACCUCAUGCAGAUCGGGUAGUAGCAGAUUAUGCUUUGGCUGAAAUGGGUGAUCCUAGUGAGAUUUUGUGCGACAUGUAUGGGAUGUACAUUAGACGGGAGGAACUUUCUUGUCUAAAUGCAGGGCGGUGGGUUAAUUCAAUGAUUGUUGCGAUUGUCUCUCGCAUGAUGAAUGGACAACAAGCACCACCAGCUCGCGCACACUUUUUUGAGCCUUCGUUCUCGGUGAGCCCUCUAAUAUCCUAAAUUCACUUGGUCUGAAACUAGAAGAGUAGAUGUUGAUGUUUGUAUU